rnacentral:piRNA from 1 species
UAUUCCGCUAGGAAUCAGUGG